rnacentral:rRNA from 1 species
GACAGAGGGGGCAAGCGUUGCUCGGAAUUACUGGGCGUAAAGGGCGCGUAGGCGGGAUGGCAAGUCGGUCGUGAAAUCCCUCGGCUCAACCGAGGAACGUCGAUCGAUACUGCUGUUCUUGAGGAUUGCAGAGGAGACUGGAAUUCCCGGUGUAGCGGUGAAAUGUGUAGAGAUCGGGAGGAACACCGGUGGCGAAGGCGGGUCUCUGGGCC